rfam:Deltaproteobacteria bacterium RIFOXYB2_FTLL_66_7 rifoxyb2_full_scaffold_152858_curated, whole genome shotgun sequence.
CAUCUUACGCAGCCUAACUCCGGCUUCCUUCCUGAGGCCGGAGGCGGGGGACCCGACUUCCCCGGUUGAGUGAACGACCGGGGAUGGGGCGAACGGGACCGGGCAACCGGUCCACGGGGCCACUUCUGAGGCCCAGCCCGUCAGCUAACCUCGUCGGCCUUUGGAAGGGCGAUC